rnacentral:lncRNA from 1 species
UUUCUCAGCUCCUACACCCUGUCCAACAGAAGAAGCAAAAUGUUCCCCAAAUUUAUCAGCCUCCUGUGUGUAGGAUUGUCUUUGGGCCAGAGGAUCUGGGCACAAAAGGGAAUCCUUAGAGAUAUUUGCCUAUGGCCCAUAAAACCAACUUCAAAACUGAUUCACAAUUUCAUCAGGACACUUCAAAGCUGAACAUUCUCAGUGGACUCUUGGUAUUCUUCAUCACCAUUGGCAUUUUCUUCCUUAUUCUUAUUUGUCACUGGUGUUCUACCAAAAACCGACGACGUCUUCCAAGACUCUUGACUCAUUCACCAACAAAUGAUACCAUUAUAGACAAAGAGCUUAAGGAAGACCAAAUAAUGGAUGGCAAUGUGAGUCCUCUCCAUACCAAAUCGUCACCAAAGUUUCAGUCCCUCCACAUACCCAGAUUCCACCACCAAUAAUUGAAUCUCACCCCUUGUUCUUCCCCUUCCCAUUUCUAGGACACUGAAGCAGAAGGACUACCUGAGGUGAUCUAUGCCCAGUUGAACCACUGGACUCUCACCGAGAGAGGAGACAGUCCCACUUCCCAGAGUCAUAAAUAUUUCUCAGAUGAUCCCAGUAUCUACAUAGAACUUCCCACACGACAAGCCUCUGCUGAGUUGA